rnacentral:pre_miRNA from 1 species
GAACUACUCCCUCCGUCCGGAAAUACUUGUCGGAGAAAUGGAUGUAUCUAGAUGUAUUUUAGUUCUAGAUACAUCAAUUUUUAUCCAUUUCUUCGACAAGUAUUUCUGGACGGAGGGAGUACAUG